rnacentral:rRNA from 1 species
AGCGAACGCUGGCGGCAGGCUUAACACAUGCAAGUCGAGCGGACCUUUCGGGGUCAGCGGCGGACGGGUGAGUAACGCGUGGGAACGUGCCUUCCGGUUCGGAAUAACCCUUGGAAACUAGGGCUAAUACCGGAUACGCCCUUCUGGGGACAGGUUUACUGCCCGAAGAUCGGCCCGCGUCCGAUUAGCUAGGUGGUGGGGUAACGGCCUACCAAGGCGACGAUCAGUAGCUGGUCUGAGAGGAUGAUCAGCCACACUGGGACUGAGACACGGCCCAGACUCCUACGGGAGGCAGCAGUGGGGAAUAUUGGACAAUGGGCGCAAGCCUGAUCCAGCCAUGCCGCGUGAGUGAUGAAGGCCUUAGGGUUGUAAAGCUCUUUUAUCCGGGACGAUAAUGACGGUACCGGAGGAAUAAGCCCCGGCUAACUUCGUG